GACGAACGCUGGCGGCGUGCUUAACACAUGCAAGUCGAACGGUGAAGCGCCUUCCUUUUUGGUGGGUGUGGAUGAGUGGCGAACGGGUGAGUAACACGUGAGUAACCUGCCCCCUUCUUCUGGAUAACCGCAUGAAAGUGUGGCUAAUACGGGAUAUUCUGGGUCUGUCGCAUGAUGGGUCUGGGAAAGAUAUUGUUUCGGUGGGGGAUGGGCUCGCGGCCUAUCAGCUUGUUGGUGGGGUGAUGGCCUACCAAGGCGGUGACGGGUAGCCGGCCUGAGAGGGUGGACGGCAACAGUGGGGAGGAGACGUGGACAAGGCUACUAGGGGCGGCAGCGGGGGGGAAUGGUGAACAAGGGGCGGCAGGCUGGUGCAGCGCCGCCGGGUGGGGGAUGGUGUCCGUCUGGUUGUGAACUGCUUUCGCGGGUGAAGCAGGGCGGCCUCGUUUGUGGGUGGGUUGACGGUAGCUGGUUAAAAAGCGACGGCUAACUACGUG
rnacentral:rRNA from 1 species